rnacentral:rRNA from 13 species
GCUUAGGCCCACACCGGCCUGAGUACGCCUGAUCUCGUCCGAUCUCGGAAGCUAAGCAGGGUCGGGCCUGGUUAGUACUUGGAUGGGAGACCGCCUGGGAAUACCAGGUGCUGUAAGCU